rnacentral:rRNA from 1 species
UACGUAGGUGGCGAGCGUUAUCCGGAAUUAUUGGGCGAAAAGAGGGAGCAGGCGGCAGCAAGGGUCUGUGGUGAAAGGCUGAAGCUUAACUUCAGUGUGCCAGAGAAACCGGGCAGCUAGAGUGCAGGAGAGGAUCGUGGAAUUCCAUGUGUAGCGGUGAAAUGCGUAGAUAUAUGGAGGAACACCAGUGGCGAAGGCGACGAUCUGGACUGCAACUGACGCUCAGUCCCGAAAGCGUGGGGAGCAAAUAGG